rnacentral:rRNA from 1 species
UACGGAGGGUGCAAGCGUUACUCGGAAUCACUGGGCGUAAAGAGCGCGUAGGCGGGAUAGCAAGUCAGAUGUGAAAUCCUAUGGCUUAACCAUAGAACUGCAUUUGAAACUGUUAUUCUAGAGUGUGGGAGAGGUAAGUGGAAUUCCUAGUGUAGCGGUAGAAUGCGUAGAGAUUAGGAGGAACAUCAGAGGCGAAGGCGGCUUACUGGACCAUAACUGACGCUGAGGCUCGAAAGCGUGGGGAGCAAACAGG